UACAGAGGGUGCAAGCGUUAAUCGGAAUUACUGGGCGUAAAGGGCGCGUAGGCGGCCAUCUAAGUCAGACGUGAAAUCCCCCGGCUCAACCUGGGAACUGCGUCUGAUACUGGACGGCUUGAGUUUGGGAGAGGGAUGUAGAAUUCCAGGUGUAGCGGUGAAAUGCGUAGAUAUCUGGAGGAAUACCGGUGGCGAAGGCGGCAUCCUGGACCAAUACUGACGCUGAGGCGCGAAAGCUAGGGGAGCAAACGGG
rnacentral:rRNA from 1 species